GGAAGGGUGAGGUUGGUCUCUUUAAGGGAUACACAUGGGGCAGAGAAAUGCCCAUUCCCUAAGCAGUGAUUCUCUGUGAAGAGUGAAGAAUACAAUCUGAGGCAAACUGGAGAGGCAAGAGGACGAUUUUAGACAGCAGGCUUGCUGGGGGCCAAGAGUGGUUAACCUGUGUAUGAUGUCAUUGCUGUGCCAGCACCAAAGCAGCAGUUCUAAGUGUUCAGAACCUUACUACUCAUUCUGGAUUUCAGGCAGCAAGCCACUGUGAGUUUGGAUGAAAAUUCAAGAACUAAGUUCAUAUGAAUAUACUAAUGAAAGGGCCAGUAUUAUACAAAAAUACAGAUUACAUGAUGUUGGAAGCUGAAAAAACUGGAAUUUCACCAAGCCCUGGAGGUGGAGGACAGGAUUUCUCACUUGGCUUGGGUCCGUGUCUUGGUCCAGCACUGUGGAUGAGUACAAAUACAAAAGGUAAAAGAAAUUAAACUAAAAAGGGGAAGGGUCAGGAAUGAAAAGUAAACUGAAAAGACCCUGAGCGUGUUGGACAAGAGCCGUGCAGUUUCUGCUGUGAUAAGCCUGAAGAGUCAAGACAAACCUUUCCCCCCUGCUUGUGAGUCUGUUCCUUCUAUUGCUGCUGUGCCCAGGUGAAGUUGUUUCAGUGGCUACCACUGCCUGACUAAUUCACACUUUCCUCCAAAAAAUCUGCAAAAAUCCACCCACAAAAAUUGCCUAGGAAAUUUAGUAACCAGUAAGACUGUCAGUUU